rnacentral:rRNA from 1 species
UGCGGAGGGAUCAUUUCCCAAAU